rfam:Oryza glumipatula chromosome 10, whole genome shotgun sequence.
UUUAAGUGUAACCAUGAGUUUUCGUUCCCAAUUUUGAUCGUUCGUCUUAUUUAAAAUUUUUUAUAGUUAGUAUUUUUAUUGUUAUGAGAUGAUAAAAUAUGAAUAGUACAUGCGUAACUUAUGUUUUUUAAUUUUUUUAAAUAAGAUAAACGAUCAAAGUUUGAUAUGAAAAUUAUGGCUGCGCUUAAA